CUGGUUUUAUCCACUCAGAUAAUUUCCUAGUCUGACUUCAUGUUUGCCUUUAACGCCUGCAGAGGGUUAAGAAUUCUUACCAAAGUUCGCUUUCCCGCAUCUGUACCUGCGCUGCCUGGCUGAGAAAAAAAUGGAAAAUUUUACAUCGUCCCUUCCUUUGCAAAUUCAGACUCUGAAACGUCACGGAGCCAUACGUGCUCUUUGUCUUUGGGGAACGUCACCAUGAACACCUGUGAUGCUUGAAACCAGAGUGGACAACGUCCAGUGGUGAGGUGGCAGGAAUGUGCCUAGCCGUGUGCCGAGGACAGGAGAGCAGAAAGAUGGGCAGAUCUGGGUCCUGGAUGACGCUGCUGAGCUGACAAAUCGCGGAGGCCCUUGUCCUUUCACCAGGUAAGCUGCACUUUGCUUGAAAGCAAGACUCAACAAAGCCGUCCCAUUUAAGCAGAGAUCUGAAAGAUGAGGAGAAGCCAGGAGCUGAAAAAAGUAGGGCACAACACACGAGGUGGGAGUGGGGUGGGG
rnacentral:lncRNA from 1 species